CCUACGGGCGGCAGCAGUGGGGAAUAUUGCACAAUGGGGGAAACCCUGAUGCAGCGACGCCGCGUGAAGGAAGAAGUAUUUCGGUAUGUAAACUUCUAUCAGCAGGGAAGAAAGUGACGGUUCCUGACUAAGAAGCCCCGGCUAACUACGUGCCAGCAGCCGCGGUAAUACGUAGGGGGCAAGAGUUAUCCGGAGUUACUGGGUGUAAAGGGAGCGUAGGCGGCGAUGCAAGUUUGAAGUGAAAGCCCGGGGCUCAACCCCGGGACUGCUUUUGAAACUGUAUGGCUAGAUUGCAGGAGAGGCAAGUGGAAUUCCUAGUGUAGCGGUGAAAUGCGUAGAUAUUAGGAGGAACACCAGUGGCGAAGGCGGCUUGCUGGACUGUAAAUGACGCUGAGGCUCGAAAGCGUGGGGAGCAAACAGGAUUAGAUACCCGAGUAGUC
rnacentral:rRNA from 1 species